rnacentral:rRNA from 1 species
CUAGUUGGUGAGGUAAUGGCUCACCAAGGCUACGAUCCGUAACUGGUCUGAGAGGAUGAUCAGUCACACUGGAACUGAGACACGGUCCAGACUCCUACGGGAGGCAGCAGUGGGGAAUAUUGGACAAUGGGCGAAAGCCUGAUCCAGCCAUGCCGCGUGUGUGAAGAAGGUCUUCGGAUUGUAAACCUCUUUAAGUUGGGAGGAAGGGCAUUAACCUAAUACGUUGGUGUUUUGACGUUACCGACAGAAUAAGCACCGGCUAACUCUGUGCCGGUGCCGCGGUAAUACAGAGGGUGCAAGCGUUAAUCCUAAUUACUGGUUUUAAAGCGCUGCUAUGUGGUUCCUUAGCUUGGACGUGAAAUCGCCGGGCUCACCCUGAGAACUGCAUUCGGUACUGUCGAUCUAAAUUAUGGUAGAGGGUGGUGAAUGUGCAUAUAUCAGGAGGAACACCAAUGGCGAAGGCAGAUCUCUGGGCCGUAACUGACACUGAGGA